UACGUAGGGGGCAAGCGUUGUCCGGAAUCAUUGGGCGUAAAGCGCGUGUAGGCGGUCCGAUAAGUUCGCUGUGAAAGUCGGGGGCUUAACCCUCGGAUGCCGGUGAAUACUGUCGGGCUUGAGUACGGAAGAGGCGAGUGGAAUUCCUGGUGUAGCGGUGAAAUGCGCAGAUAUCAGGAGGAACACCAAUUGCGAAGGCAGCUCGCUGGGACGUUACUGACGCUGAGACGCGAAGCGUGGGGAGCAAACAGG
rnacentral:rRNA from 1 species